rnacentral:rRNA from 1 species
GACAGAGGUGGCAAGCGUUGCUCGGAUUCACUGGGCUUAAAGGGCGCGUAGGCGGUUUUGUAAGUCUAAGGUGGAAUUUCACAGCUCAACUGUGGAACUGCCUUAGAAACUGCAAAGCUUGAGUCAGGUAGAGGAGGGCGGAAUUCCCGGUGUAGCGGUGAAAUGCGUAGAUAUCGGGAGGAAGGCCGGUGGCGAAGGCUGCCCUCUGGGCCUGUACUGACGCUGAGGCGCGAAAGCGUGGGGAGCAUACAGG